rnacentral:rRNA from 1 species
AUACGGAGGAUCCAAGCGUUAUCCGGAUUUAUUGGGUUUAAAGGGUGCGCAGGCGGCCUUAUAAGUCAGUGGUGAAAUCUCCCGGCUCAACCGGGAAACUGCCAUUGAUACUGUAAGGCUAGAAUACAGACGAGAUAGGCGGAAUGUAGCAUGUAGCGGUGAAAUGCUUAGAUAUGCUACAGAACACCGAUCGCGAAGGCAGCUUACCAGACUGUAAUUGACGCUAAGGCACGAAAGCGUGGGGAGCGAACAGGAUUAGAAACCCUAGUAGUCC